rnacentral:tRNA from 1 species
GGCCGACUAGCUCAGUUGGUUAGAGCGCGGUGCUAAUAACGCCGAGGUCGUCGGUUCGAUCCCGGCGUUGGCCA